GCGACAGAAGGGAGCUUGCUCCCGGAUGUUAGCGGCGGACGGGUGAGUAACACGUGGGUAACCUGCCUGUAAGACUGGGAUAACUCCGGGAAACCGGAGCUAAUACCGGAUAGUUCCUUGAACCGCAUGGUUCAAGGAUGAAAGACGGUUUCGGCUGUCACUUACAGAUGGACCCGCGGCGCAUUAGCUAGUUGGUGGGGUAAUGGCUCACCAAGGCGACGAUGCGUAGCCGACCUGAGAGGGUGAUCGGCCACACUGGGACUGAGACACGGCCCAGACUCCUACGGGAGGCAGCAGUAGGGAAUCUUCCGCAAUGGACGAAAGUCUGACGGAGCAACGCCGCGUGAGUGAUGAAGGUUUUCGGAUCGUAAAGCUCUGUUGUUAGGGAAGAACAAGUGCGAGAGUAACUGCUCGCACCUUGACGGUACCUAACCAGAAAGCCACGGCUAACUACGUGCCAGCAGCCGCGGUAAUACGUAGGUGGCAAGCGUUGUCCGGAAUUAUUGGGCGUAAAGGGCUCGCAGGCGGUUUCUUAAGUCUGAUGUGAAAGCCCCCGGCUCAACCGGGGAGGGUCAUUGGAAACUGGGAAACUUGAGUGCAGAAGAGGAGAGUGGAAUUCCACGUGUAGCGGUGAAAUGCGUAGAGAUGUGGAGGAACACCAGUGGCGAAAGCGACUCUCUGGUCUGUAACUGACGCUGAGGAGCGAAAGCGUGGGGAGCGAACAGGAUUAGAUACCCUGGUAGUCCACGCCGUAAACGAUGAGUGCUAAGUGUUUAGGGGGUUUCCCGCCCCUUAGUGCUGCAGCUAACGCAUUAAGCACUCCGCCUGCGGGGAGUACGGUCGCAAGGACUGAAACUCAAAGGAA
rnacentral:rRNA from 1 species